ACCACAAUCUGAAAAUCUCCU
rnacentral:siRNA from 1 species